rnacentral:tRNA from 15 species
GGCCUGGUAGCUCAGUUGGUAGAGCAGAGGACUGAAAAUCCUUGUGUCGGUGGUUCGAUUCCGCCCCGGGCCACCA